rnacentral:rRNA from 1 species
AAUAGAUACCCCGGUAGUCCACGCCGUAAACGGUGGGUACUAGGUGUGGGUUUCCUUCCUUGGGAUCCGUGCCGUAGCUAACGCAUUAAGUACCCCGCCUGGGGAGUACGGCCGCAAGGCUAAAACUCAAAGAAAUUGACGGGGGCCCGCACAAGCGGCGGAGCAUGUGGAUUAAUUCGAUGCAACGCGAAGAACCUUACCUGGGUUUGACAUGCACAGGACGCCAGUAGAGAUAUUGGUUCCCUUGUGGCCUGUGUGCAGGUGGUGCAUGGCUGUCGUCAGCUCGUGUCGUGAGAUGUUGGGUUAAGUCCCGCAACGAGCGCAACCCUUAUCUUAUGUUGCCAGCGCGUAAUGGCGGGGACUCGUGAGAGACUGCCGGGGUCAACUCGGAGGAAGGUGGGGAUGACGUCAAGUCAUCAUGCCCCUUAUGUCCAGGGCUUCACACAUGCUACAAUGGCCGGUACAAAGGGCUGCGAUGCCGUGGAGGUGGAGCGAAUCCUUUCAAAGCCGGUCUCAGUUCGGAUCGGGGUCUGCAAC